UUUUUUUUUUUUUUUUUUUAAUGAGAUCAAUGCAUUUCCAGCAAGCAAUUUCCACCCCUACAUAUUUUCAUAAAGAGAUACUACUCUUUUACAGUGCUAGGUACCUACUCUGAGUUUUUAACCAAUAAAUACUUAGGGAUUUCAGGUGGGUGAAAAUAACCCAAACUUUUUGCCCAAGGCAUGGAAAGUACAGGCUGAAAGAGGGAGAAAGGAACCAAGGGUUGGUAAAUGUGUGUAGAAAAGCACUUUCUUUUCUGGUGAAUAGUUUGCCCAGGAAAAAAAUAUGCAUUUGAAAAUUUCUGCAAGAUCUAUCUCUUAAGAUCAGACAAUUAUUCAUCUCAUUCUUUAAAAACAAAUAAAAAAUAAAACCGUAAUCUCGAUGUUAAAAAUCCUCAUUUCAAAGUCCAUCCUACACACUCAUUGGAUAAACAAGCUCUAGGUUUGCGUGGGUUCCCGGGUAUUUAAAGCUUUUACAUUUAGCAUCACCCCUUUCAGAGGCACUGAGUCUGCCUGCCUUCUCCGCCCACAGACAGUCAGUCACGAUCGGCUCAAUUCCACCCUCGGCCCCCUCACGAUUCUACCACACAGGUCUCACAAGUUGAAAAUUAUUUUCUUAUGUUUGGUCUUCACAGCUACAUAGAACUACUUCAGGGCAUAGAGCAUAUUUUAUUCAUUUUUAUAUUUCCAAUUUCCCUAAAUAAUUUAUUCAUUCAUUAAAAGAAGCCUACUGAGCCUACUACGCGCCAGAGGCUUUAAUCAUUCAGCAGAAUGUACUGAACGGGCACAGUUCUAAUAAGCAACAGGAACGCAUCUGUGAACAAAGGAGAAGGCGAGUCCUGGCCUCAAGGAUCUUACUUCUGCUGGGGAAACAAGAGCCAACAGAUAUAAUACAGUUUCUCCAAAGGCAGUGAGUGCUAAGGAAAAAGGAAAAGCAGAGCAAUACAAGGAGGCUUCAGAGUAUGCUGCUGCAUUAAAAAGGUGGUCAAGAAAGGCCUCACUGAGAAACGACUCUUGAGCAAAGCCUUUGAGGAGGUGAGGGCAUUAGCCAAGAGCAUCAAGGGGAGCCUCUGGAGAAGGGCAUUACAGGCAGAGGGAACCACCAGGGCAAAGGCUGCUGUGGGUCACGGUUCAGAAGCCUUUCAGGAUCAGCAAAAAGGCCACAUGGGCUGGAAUGGGGAGGGGGGAAGAGGGGAGCAGAUGACUAAUAGUAAGGUCAGGGGUUAGAGAGGCCGCAUAAGCCACUGUAGGGGUGUUCUUACAACUGCCUAGCUCCCAAAGUAGACAAGAAGCAUACAUCCCAAAACAUGCACAAUCACAUAUAUAUCCAGCCACUACUAAAACUUUAAAACAGGACUUGCGGUGCUUCCCCUGCAUCCCAAUGGAUCAUUCUGCACAUCAUAUUCCUUGGAGAAGCAGCAGCCCACUCUGAAGACCACUACCCUAUGCUGUCAUAGCUCAGGCAGUAAACAACGUAUUCUCACAAUGACUAGGAGCAGCCAGAGGUCUGCUGAAUUCCUAAGCCCCUCAACACAGCCUGGGAUCCACCCUGAAAGCCUUACAGAAGAUCCCAGGUUGCAGGAGGGUUGAACUGGAAAUGUUUUGGGAUUUUGUUUUGGUUUCUUCCCCUAGUCCAAGAGUUUCUUAAAACAACAAAUUCCACAAUUCAGUUCAGAAAUCAUCAACUCUCUCACUCGGAGUAUUUCAUACUUCCUACACCUUCAGAGACCUGGUACUGCCAAGGAUGGAAAUGGCCAGCAUUUCUAUACAGUUGCCCUUUAUUGGGUAUACAAUAGUUUUUCUUACAAUUGAGCUAUUUAAAACAAAACAAAAUCAAAAACCUCCUAUGAAUGAAUGUAGGGACUACUCUACUAAAUAAGAAAGUUUAGCAAAAGUAAACUUGCUAAAAUUUACUCUCCUUUUCCCCUCCUUAAAAAGGUGGGCCACAGAACUAAACCACCUGGCUUGGCACUCAGCCUCUUCAGAAGCUCUCCCAUGUACACCGCAAGAUGAAAUAAAACCUUGGGGAAAGGGGUCGUCCGAGCUAACUGUUGCUUUGAUUAAGAAGCCACGGCGCUCAGCACAGUCUCAGGACGAGCAGAGUCCUCUUCGCCAUUGUCCAUGUCUUCGAGGUCACUAUUUAAACACUAACUCAACUUACCUCAAUGACUUCUAAAAAGAAUCAAGCCAGAUUAUUAUGCUAUUACACAGAGGAGAAUCAUACUUCACCCCAUCCUCUCAAGGAGAUAAUCAUAAAAUUGCUCAAGUACUGGCAUGUGUUUUACCUCGUGUGGUUCAACCAUCAAAAUUAUGUCAUUAUUCCAGCAGAGCAAAAGUCAAUUGCGUGAACUAGCUAAUCCUCAUACAACCUCUUAUAAUUUUCAUCUCGUCUCUCAAUUCUUUUUUUCCUUUCCUUUUUUUUUUUUUUUUUUUUUUUUUUUUUUUUUUUUUUGGCUCCACCUGCAGCACGUGGAAGUUACCGGGCCAGGGAUCAAACCUGAACCACAGCAGUGACAAUGACAGAUCCCUCUGAGCCACCAGGGAACUCCCUAAAUUUCCCCUUUGACUAAGGGCACCAGUAUGCCUAAAACUAAUGCAACCUUGUAAAUCAACUAUACCUUAAUUAAAAAAAAAAAAAAAAAAAAAAAGGAGCACCAGGCAUGAUGGAUUAGGGUUUGCCCUAAUAUCAUCUAAACGAAUCACACUGCAAUGACUCUAUUUCCAAAUAAGAUCACCCUAUUUCUGAGCUAUAGGGUUAGGGCGUCAACAUGCAAGUUAGGAAAGGACAUAGUCAAGCCUGCAACAUAAAGGCAAGUCUUCCUGUCUUUGCGCACCUGGCCCCACAACCAACUUCCGCUCAACAAUGUAAGCAAUCUUCCCAGAUAUUCAAUUGUGACAAUGUCCUUUUCAUGCUUAAAACUCACAGUAGCUGUUUUUCAUCCAAACUGUGAGUAGUGGGAGUUCCCAUUGUGGCUCAGCGGAAACAAAUCCCACUAGUAUCCAUAAGAAUGCGGGUUUGAUCCCUGGCCUCGCUCAGUGGGUUAAAGAUCCAGUGUUGCUGUGAGCUGUGGUGUAGGUGGCAGACGCGGCUCGGAUCCCAUGUUGCCUUGGCUGUGGCUGAAGUGUAGGCUGGCAGCUGUAGCUCUAAUUUGACCCCUAGCCUGGGAACUUCCACAUGGUGUGGGUGCAGCUCUAAAAAAAUAAAAUAAAAGGCAAACUGUGAGUAGAGACAGUAACAAAUAUGCAAAUAUUUACUGACUGGACCGUAUCAUCCUAAGCACUUUACACACAUGACACUCUCCCUGUAGGAUGGGCACUAUCACUCUCGCCGUUUCAUAAAUGAACAAAUAUCGCCAAAAAGGCUUUAAGUGACAACUGUUCGAUAAGCUAUGCAGUUAGUACUUUUCAGAACCAGGAUUUAAACUUAAGCUCCACACCCCAAAAUAAAAAGUGAUCAGACAGAGAAAUUCAGUUUAUUAAUUAAUAUAGGUUUCCCCUUUCAGGCUUCACCUAUCACAAACAACUCACAGUACACUCUAAUUAGAACUUUCAUGAGAAUGAAAAGGAGGCUUGGAAGGGACUGCUGAUCCACACCUACACAGCGACCAACUCCUGAAUACUCCACAACCAACCAAUCAGCCAACCUUUACCAAACUUAAGGAGGUGGGAGGAAGUAAAGCUGAGGGGGCAGAGAAGGCUAAAACUGCAGAAAGAGAACCCAGGAGCAAGAGCAUCAAAAUGCUCACCCAGAAUCUACCCUCAGGAUAGACAUAUGGAUGAAGAAACAAAGAGUCUUUCAGUGUCUGAAAGGGCUAUUGCUAAAAAGAGAUUAGUAAUUAGAUUGAAUGGCUAUGGUCCAGUACAAAAAAAUGGUGUUUUUUCCCUCUAAAUGGAACAUAGGGGCAACUCCAGAAGUUAUUCGAGGGGGCUUUAAAAAGAAAGAACGUAAACUUUGAAACAAAGAAUAUUUUUCAAUGCUAACCAUUUUCUCCCUUGAAUCUGGUUUAAAAUACUAUCUGACAAGGUCUUUAAAGGGUUCACUGUUGAUUAAACCAUUUUCAUGGCCUAAUGAGUUUGAGCCCUAUUAAUUCAGACUGUGCUGUGGACAUUGAUUUUUGUCAUAGCAAGGAUCAAGAGAAGUAAGAGUUCUUCAAAUUAACCAACUGCUCACAACAGUAAGUAGAGAAAAUGUCUGCUGUGAAAUAUAUAGUGUCUAAGCACUAUUCAGUGCCAACAAAAGCUAAUAAACAGGCUAUAUUUUUAAGUUUAAGCUGGAGAAGAAAAGUCAUCCCUACCUGUAGAGAGGACCAUUUGGCUCUUAUUUCAGAUUUUUUAGGAAACUGCAAUGCCAAGAAAGGGUAAACAUUAGAGACAAUCUACUUUCCAGCUCUGAAUGACCACCCUAAGAUGCACCAAUCAUCCGACAGGGACACAAUGCACCAAAACAGAAAUGACAAAAGCUGAAGAACUUGAAAGCAGUUCUUUCCCUUAAAUGAAGCUUUUACAUCAAACAAAUCUAGGGAGCUCCCGUCGUGGCUCGUGGCUCGUGGCUCAGCAGUUAAUGAACCAACUAAGAUCCAUGAGGAUCCGAGAGUUCAGUCCCUGGCCUCACUCAGUGAGUUAAGGAUCUGACGUUGCUGUGAGCUAUGGUGUAGGUUGCAGAUGAGGCUCGGAUCCCGAGUUGCUGUGGCUGUGGUGUAGGCUGGCAGCUGCAGCUCCGAUUUGACCCCCAGCCUGGGAAUUUCUGUAUGCCGCAAGUGGGGCCCUAAAAAGACAAAAAAAAAAAGAAAAACAAAACAAAACCACACAACCUAAUCUAAACAAUUCCUGUGUAUUCUAGUCUUUUGACAAUGUGUCAAUCAAAGCUUUUAUUCCAUAGCCCUUAGCAAUUUUCCACAUUUAAUAUGACAAAGAAAACCAGUGCUAAUCUUCUACACGACUAAACCCAAACUUUGAAAUUACCAGUAAAAGUGACAUCAUUUAUAUCAUCUCUCUUAUUGAGAAGUAGAUUCUGUUUUUGAUAGUAAAAAGCAGCCCUGAAAGUCUGCAUGAAUUGAAGCUGUCAAUAAGUAGCCAGCUCCCUGUGCCCCUUCCCUGGUGUCUGGCUCAGGGAGGGUCAGCAAAAUAGGGGCCAAGGGUCAAAGGGUCCACUGCCUGCUUUAGCAUGGUCCGCAGUGAAAGAAUGGGUUCUCUCUUUAUGAAUGGUUUUGGGGGGGAGGGAGUGGGACGAAUCAAAAGAAGAAUAAUAUGAAGUUCCUACUGGGCCCUAUGGCCUUUCUGGAGCACUGGGACACAGGGGAGCACUGGGACACAGGUUUGAUCCCUGGCCUGACACAGCGGGUUAAGGAUCUGGAGUUGCCUCAGCUGCAGCUUGGAUCUAAUCCUUAGACCAGGAACCCCCAUAUGCCUCAGGGCAUUUAAAAAAGAAAACCAUGAAAGUAGAUUUAAAAAGAAGAAGAGGAGUUCCCGUCGUGGCACAGUGGUUAACAAAUCCGAUUAGGAACCAUGAGGUUGUGGGUUUGGUCCCUGCCCUUGCUCAGUGGGUUAAGGAUCCGGUGUUACCGUGAGCUGUGGUGUAGCCCUAGUAUUUGAUCUUUUAUAAUUUUCUACAGCAGUGAAUUAGUAAGAAUUAGCCUGGCAAUGCCUAAGAUUUCUAGUCAGGGAAGGUACAACGGAAUCUUUCACCAGAAUAAUUCCAAUUAACAAAUUAAAUUUUCUUGUCUUUUUUUUGCAUUUCCACACUAACCAACUACAACCCCUUUCACAACCACUAAAUAGUCCAAUUAAAAUCUAAAACACUACAUCAUUUUGUGCCUUCAAGACAUCUACUCAGAAUUUCUGCUGUGGCACAGAGGGUUUAGCUGCAGCUGUGCCACAGGUCGAAGCUUUAGCUGGGAUUUGAUCCCUAGCCUAGAAACUUCCAUAUGCCAUGGGUGUGGCCAAAAGGGGGGGCAGGGAAUGACACAAGGGCUAAAAAAAGUACUUUCUUCUCAGGCAUCAUAGUAAGAAAAACACCCAUUCUUUGAGGUUGCAGUGGUCAUCUACAAAUAGUCAUGGUGCCAUAGCAGGCGCCACCUCUGGUUUGUGUAAUGCUACUACAGUCUUGUUCCCUUUUUUGCCAUGAAACUUUUUUUUGGGGGGGGUCUUUUUAGGGCCGCCUUCAUGGCAUGUGGGAGUUCCCAGGCCAGCAGGUGAAUCAGAGCUGUAUCUGCUGGCCUACAUCACAGCCACAGCUGUGCCAGAUCUGAUCGAUGUCUGUGACCUACACCACAGCUCUCAGCAAUGCUGGAUCCUUAACACACUGAGCAAGGCCAGGAAUUGAACCUGCAUCCUCAUGGAUACUAAUUGAACCAGGAUGGGAACUCCUAAACUUUUUAAUUUUAGACACCAAAUACAAUGCUCUUGCCAC
rnacentral:lncRNA from 1 species